AUCCCUGAGACAAGAUGGUGAAGGUCGGAGUUAACGGAUUUGGCCGUAUUGGGCGCCUGGUCACCAGAGCUGCUGUUAACUCUGGCAAAGUAGAGGUUGUUGCCAUCAACGACCCCUUCAUUGACCUCAACUACAUGGUAUAUAUGUUCCAGUAUGAUUCCACCCAUGGCAAGUUCAAUGGCACUGUCAAGGCUGAGAACGGGAAACUUAUCAUCAAUGGGAAGCCCAUCUCUAUCUUCCAGGAGCGAGAUCCCACCAACAUCAAGUGGGGUGAUGCUGGUGCUGAAUGUGUUGUAGAGUCCACCGGUGUCUUCACAACCUUGGAGAAGGCUGGGGCUCACUUGAAGGGUGGUGCCAAAAGGGUAAUCAUCUCUGCCCCUUCUGCUGAUGCCCCCAUGUUUGUGAUGGGCGUGAACCAUGAGAAGUAUGACAACUCGCUCAACAUUGUCAGCAAUGCCUCCUGCACCACCAACUGUUUGGCCCCCCUGGCCAAGGUCAUCCAUGAUAAUUUUGGCAUUGUGGAGGGACUCAUGACCACAGUCCAUGCCAUCACUGCCACCCAGAAGACUGUGGAUGGCCACUCUGGGAAACUGUGGCGUGAUAGCCGUGGGGCUGCCCAGAACAUCAUCCCUGCAUCUACUGGUGCUGCCAAGGCUGUGGGCAAGGUCAUCCCUGAACUGAAUGGGAAACUCACUGGCAUGGCCUUCCGUGUCCCCACUCCUAAUGUGUCUGUUGUGGACCUGACCUGCCGCCUGGAGAAAGCUGCCAAAUAUGAUGACAUCAAUAAGAUGGUGAAGCAGGCAUCAGAUGGACCCCUAAAAGGCAUCCUGGGUUACACUGAAGACCAGGUUGUUCCUGUGACUUUAACAGUGACACCCACUCUUUCACCUUUGAUGCUGGAGCUGGUAUUGCCCUCAAUGACCACUUUGUCAAGCUCAUUUCCUGGUAUGACAAUGAAUUCAGCUACAGCAACAGGGUGGCAGACCUUAUGGUCCACAUGGCCUCCAAAGAAUAAGAGCCCCCUGGACCACCAGCCCCAGCAACAGCACUAGAGGAAGAGAGAGGCCCUCAGCUGCUAGGAGUCCUUACCCCAACUCUAAUCCCCCUACACACUGCGAAACUCCAAUCCUGUUUCCAUCCAGACCCCCUGGAGAAGGGGAGGGGCUCUAAAGAGCCCAGUCUUGUCAUGUACCAUCAAUAAAGUACACU